ensembl:lncRNA
UUGGGGAGGACAGUACUGGGAAACAAAAGUGAUCAGCCUAAGAUAUUUAGAGGAUAUAUAUUAGAAGUGACAAGACAAAACCUAAGGAGACACUGGGUCUACUAAAGACACACCAGGUCAGAGCAGAAGGAUGUUCUGUGAGUAACCGAGAUGAGACUGCAGCGUGAGUGUGGUUCAGCAGAACCAGCAGUCUGGACCCACACUAGUAUGACCAAGGUGGACAGGCACGUGUGUGACACCGCCAGGCAGAGUACUCUACGGAAGGCGACCACGUAUACUGUGCUGUUUCAAGGCGGAUUCUUCACCAGCUGAGCUACCAAGAAGGGCGAAGCUCCAGCCAAAGAUCCGGAGAGAAGAGAGAGGAGAGCCGGCAACAGCCUUGGGGCCCCAGGGCCACCCGUGGGAGGGGACGCCGGGAGUGCGCGCGGAGGCAGCAGCGGUCCCUGGACAUCAGGGUCCUUCCAAUGAGUCAACUCUUCGCAUCAGAUGGCCAAAGUAUUGGAGCUUCUUACCUCUCUCCCAUCGUUUCCCACUCUUCUUGGAUUACAAAAGCCCUACACUAUCUGGUCUUUGCUGCCUCCCACCCCGGCCUGAGUUUUUCCC